rnacentral:misc_RNA from 1 species
ACAAACUUGGUCAUUUAGAGGAAGUAAAAGUCGUAACAAGGUCUCCGUUGGUGAACCAGCGGAGGGAUCAUUACCGAGUUAUCAACUCCCAAACCAUUGUGAAUCUUACCUUUUCGUUGCUUCGGCGGGAUCGCCCCGGGCACCUCGUGUGCCCCGGACCCAGGCGCCCGCCGAGGGACCUAAACUCUGUCGUUUAGUGGUAUUUCUGAGUGGAUUAUCAAAUAAUCAAAACUUUCAACAACGGAUCUCUUGGUUCUGGCAUCGAUGAAGAACGCAGC